rnacentral:rRNA from 1 species
GGGCCCGCACAAGCGGUGGAGCAUGUGGUUUAAUUCGAUGAUACGCGAGGAACCUUACCAGGACUUAAAUGUAAGUUGCAUGAUUCAGAAAUGAAUCUUUCUUCGGACUACUUACAAGGUGCUGCAUGGUUGUCGUCAGCUCGUGCCGUGAGGUGUCAGGUUAAGUCCUAUAACGAGCGCAACCCCUAUCGUUAGUUGCCAUCAAGUAAAGUUGGGAACUCUAGCGAAACUGCCGGUGCAAACCGAGAGGAAGGUGGGGAUGACGUCAAAUCAUCACGGCCCUUACGGGUUGGGGCUACACACGUGCUACAAUGGUAGUGACAAUGGGUUAAUCCCAAAAAGCUAUCU